rnacentral:rRNA from 1 species
GACGAACGCUGGCGGCGUGCUUAACACAUGCAAGUCGAACGGAAAGGCCCUGCUUUUGUGGGGUGCUCGAGUGGCGAACGGGUGAGUAACACGGGAGUAACCUGCCCUUGACUUUGGGAUAACUUCAGGCAACUGGGGCUAAUACCGGAUAGGAGCUCCUGCUGCAUGGUGGGGGUUGGAAAGUUUAGGCGGUUGUGGAUGGACUCGCGGCUUACCAGCUUGUUGGUGGGGUAGUGGCUUACCAAGGCUUUGAUGGGUAGCCGGCCUGAGAGGGUGAACGGGCUCAUUGGGACUGAGAUACGGCCCAGACUCCUACGGGAGGCAGCAGUGGGGAAUAUUGCACAGUGGGCGGAAGCCUGAUGCAGCAGCGCCGCGUGCGGAAUGACGGCCUUCGGGUUGUAAACCGCUUUCGCCUGUGACGAAGCGUGAGUGACGGUAAUGGGUAAAGAAGCACCGGCUAACUACGUG